UACAGGGGGGGCAAGCGUUGUUCGGAAUUACUGGGCGUAAAGGGCUUGUAGGCGGCCAACUAAGUCACACGUGAAAUCCCCAGCUUAACCUGGGAACUGCGUGUGAUACUGGAUGGCUUGAAUUCGGGAGAGGGAUGCAGAAUUCCAGGUGUAGCGGUGAAAUGCGUAGAUAUCUGGAGGAAUACCGGUGGCGAAGGCGGCAUCCUGGACCGACAUUGACGCUGAGGAGCGAAAGCUAGGGGGAGCAAACGGGG
rnacentral:rRNA from 1 species